GACGAACGCUGGCGGCGUGCUUAACACAUGCAAGUCGAACGGAAAGGCCCUGCUUUUGUGGGGUGCUCGAGUGGCGAACGGGUGAGUAACACGUGAGUAACCUGCCCUUGACUUUGGGAUAACUUCAGGAAACUGGGGCUAAUACCGGAUAGGAGCUCCUGCUGCAUGGUGGGGGUUGGAAAGUUUCGGCGGUUGGGGAUGGACUCGCGGCUUAUCAGCUUGUUGGUGGGGUAGUGGCUUACCAAGGCUUUGACGGGUAGCCGGCCUGAGAGGGUGACCGGCCACAUUGGGACUGAGAUACGGCCCAGACUCCUACGGGGGGCAGCAGUGGGGAAUAUUGCACAAUGGGCGGAAGCCUGAUGCAGCACCGCCGCGUGCGGGAUGACGGCCUUCGGGUUGUAAACCGCUUUCGCCUGUGACGAAGCGUGAGUGACGGUAAUGGGUAAAGAAGCACCGGCUAACUACGUG
rnacentral:rRNA from 1 species